GUGUCGGGUGUUCUCCUCCCAUUGCGCCCGACACGUUCCCCUCUGGAAGGUUUCAACUUUCCAUGCUUGGCCGGGCCUUUUGGUCCGGCCUUUUUU
rnacentral:sRNA from 1 species